GACGAACGCUGGCGGCGUGCCUAAUACAUGCAAGUUGAACGCUGAAGACUGGUACUUGUACCAGUUGGAUGAGUAGCGAACGGGUGAGUAACGCGUGGGUAACCUACCUCUUAGCGGGGGACAACUAUUGGAAACGAUAGCUAAUACCGCAUAACAAUACCUAACACAUGUUAAGUAUUUGAAAGCACCGACUGGUGCACUAAGAGAUGGACCCGCGUUGUAUUAGCUAGUUGGUAGUGUAAUGGACUACCAAGGCGAUGAUACAUAGCCGACCUGAGAGGGUGAUCGGCCACAUUGGGACUGAGACACGGCCCAAACUCCUACGGGAGGCAGCAGUAGGGAAUCUUCGGCAAUGGGGGCAACCCUGACCGAGCAACGCCGCGUGAGUGAAGAAGGUUUUCGGAUCGUAAAACUCUGUUGUUAGAGAAGAACGUCAGUGAGAGUGGAAAGUUCACUGAGUGACGGUAUCUAACCAGAAAGGGACGGCUAACUACGUGCCAGCAGCCGCGGUAAUACGUAGGUCCCGAGCGUUGUCCGGAUUUAUUGGGCGUAAAGCGAGCGCAGGUGGUUUAAUAAGUCUGAUGUAAAAGGCAGUGGCUCAACCAUUGUGUGCAUUGGAAACUGUUAGACUUGAGUGCAGUAGAGGAGAGUGGAAUUCCAUGUGUAGCGGUGAAAUGCGUAGAUAUAUGGAGGAACACCGGUGGCGAAAGCGGCUCUCUGGACUGUAACUGACACUGAGGCUCGAAAGCGUGGGUAGCAAACAGGAUUAGAUACCCUGGUAGUCC
rnacentral:rRNA from 1 species